rnacentral:rRNA from 1 species
GCUUGCUCCCGGAUGUUAGCGGCGGACGGGUGAGUAACACGUGGGUAACCUGCCUGUAAGACUGGGAUAACUCCGGGAAACCGGAGCUAAUACCGGAUAGUUCCUUGAACCGCAUGGUUCAAGGAUGAAAGACGGUUUCGGCUGUCACUUACAGAUGGACCCGCGGCGCAUUAGCUAGUUGGUGGGGUAAUGGCUCACCAAGGCGACGAUGCGUAGCCGACCUGAGAGGGUGAUCGGCCACACUGGGACUGAGACACGGCCCAGACUCCUACGGGAGGCAGCAGUAGGGAAUCUUCCGCAAUGGACGAAAGUCUGACGGAGCAACGCCGCGUGAGUGAUGAAGGUUUUCGGAUCGUAAAGCUCUGUUGUUAGGGAAGAACAAGUGCGAGAGUAACUGCUCGCACCUUGACGGUACCUAACCAGAAAGCCACGGCUAACUACGUGCCAGCAGCCGCGGUAAUACGUAGGUGGCAAGCGUUGUCCGGAAUUAUUGGGCGUAAAGGGCUCGCAGGCGGUUUCUUAAGUCUGAUGUGAAAGCCCCCGGCUCAACCGGGGAGGGUCAUUGGAAACUGGGAAACUUGAGUGCAGAAGAGGAGAGUGGAAUUCCACGUGUAGCGGUGAAAUGCGUAGAGAUGUGGAGGAACACCAGUGGCGAAGGCGACUCUCUGGUCUGUAACUGACGCUGAGGAGCGAAAGCGUGGGGAGCGAACAGGAUUAGAUACCCUGGUAGUCCACGCCGUAAACGAUGAGUGCUAAGUGUUAGGGGGUUUCCGCCCCUUAGUGCUGCAGCUAACGCAUUAAGCACUCCGCCUGGGGAGUACGGUCGCAAGACUGAAACUCAAAGGAAUUGACGGGGGCCCGCACAAGCGGUGGAGCAUGUGGUUUAAUUCGAAGCAACGCGAAGAACCUUACCAGGUCUUGACAUCCUUCUGACCAACUCCUAGAGAUAGGGGCUUUCCCUUUCGGGGGACAGAGUGACAGUGUGCAUGGCUUGUCGUUCAGCUCGUGUCGUGAGAUGUUGGGUUAAGUUCCCCGCAACGAGCGCAUCCUUGAU